rfam:Oikopleura dioica, whole genome shotgun assembly, reference scaffold set, scaffold scaffold_26
GACUGGAUGGCCGAGCGGUCUAAGGCGUUGGAUUAAGGCUCCAAUCUCUUCGGAGGCGUGGGUUCGAAUCCCACUUCAGUCA